rnacentral:lncRNA from 1 species
AACACUGAUUUGCCUUCCUGACCUGAGCAGUCAUAGUGUCUGUGUGUGUGUGUGUGUGUAUGCAUGUGUGUGCACACACAUUUGCGCACAGGCUCUGGAGAGACAUGGGGAGAGGAAAAGAACUUGUAUCAAGUCAUCUUUUUAUUUAUUGAAAGCCUGGCUCUGUGAGGGGACAAGCUUCAGGUGAGCCAGAGAGAAAUCAGGAAAAGCAUGCCCCCUGCCCUCCUGGAGUUUGUAGUUCAGCCCCCCAACCCUCCCUGACCAGCAAAUGCAAUGGGCAUUUGGCAAGCUUGUCAACAUGUCAUCACCUGCUGAUGUGGUGCAGUAGCCUUUGACAAGUGCACGUGUUACUGUCCAGUCACAGCCAGUCAUUAAAGUGAAAAGUCAACACAAACUACUGCUUUCAAAGAAAGCAGUCUCACUCUGCCGUCUGGGACCAGGGC